AAGUCGUCACAAGGUUUCCGUAGGUGAACCUGCGGAAGGAUCAUUGUCAUUGAUUGUGCAAUGAUAGCGCUUCUACGAUUCCUGUAGACCGUACACUCGGGCAGGAGGUUUGCCAAAGGGUCCCCAUGCCCCCUAAUAACCCCACAGUUUAAUGUGAAGCUCAAUGUAAUACAUUGGGUAAAAAAACCGAACAACUGUUAACAAUGGAUAUCUUGGUUCUC
rnacentral:misc_RNA from 1 species